rnacentral:lncRNA from 1 species
GUUUAGUAAUUAGUGAUUAGGGUUUAGUAUUUAGAGUAAUAGGGGUGAGUUUGAGGUCAGUAUUAGAUUUUGACAUUUGGGUUUAGAGUUUAUGGUUUAUAUUUGGGUUUAGGGUUUAUACUUGGGUUUAGGGUUUAGAGAUUAAGAUUUAGGGUUUAGUAUUUAGAAGGGCGGGGUUGGGAUUUGGGUAUAGUGAACAUGUAUCGUUUCAUUUGACGAUUAAUAAAGAGUGCUCUAUUUUGUUCACCAAUAUGUACUAUACCAUUUAUUUUAUUCCAUUAUAUUUGGGUUUAGGGUCUAUACUUGGGUUUAAGGUUUAGUGAUUAGAGUUUAAGGUUUAGUAUUUGGAAGGUGUGAAGUUAAAGUUUGGGUUUAGUGAUAGACUUUAGGGUUUAAUAUUCAAAAUAUGCUUUCAAGUGUCCAAUACUGAAAAAAAAAUUAUAGAUUGUAUUUGGGUUUAUAGGUUCCUGCCUAGGGUUUAGAUUUAUUAAGUAGAGGUUUGGGUAUAGUAAACCAUAUUAUAUAUAUACUAUUUGGGUUUAUGCUUCCUUAAUUAGGGUUUAGCUUUAAUAAUUAAUGUGUGUGUCUUGUAUUGUUGUAUUUUUGCUGGUGGGGAGAGUUUACUAUUUGAAUUCCAUACUAUGGAUACACCACUAGAAACAUUUGAUUAUUUGAAACAUUAGUGUACUAUACUACUUAUACUAUAUGGCAUAGAAGAUAUGUAACCAAGUAAAUGUGCCUUCAAGUGUCUAUUAUUGGGAAAUAAUUUAUAGAUUGUAUUUAGGUUUAUAGGUUCAUGCAUAGGGUUUAGAUUUACUAAGUAGAGGUUUGGGUUUAGUAAACCAUAUUAUAUACAUUCUAUUUGGGGUUUAGCUUUAUUAAUCAGUGGUGUGUCUUUCUUGUUUCUUUGGGUCAUUUCUUUCUUCUUUUGUACUGUCAACUUGCACAUGUGGAGGGUAUAACCGGAUAAUAUGAAGCCUAAAUGUUAGUUUAUUCAUUUAGGGUUUAG